GAGGCUGGGGCUCAGUGAUAGAGCUUUUGCCUGGCAUGCAUAAGGCACUGGGUUUGAUCCUCAGCACCACA
rnacentral:tRNA from 1 species